GGAGAGGUGCGUGAGUGGUUGAAACGGCAUGCCUGGAGAGCAUGUGUGGGGGAUAACUCCACCGGGGGUUCGAAUCCCCCCCUCUCCGCCA
rnacentral:tRNA from 1 species